rnacentral:rRNA from 1 species
UAGGGAAUUUUCCACAAUGGGCGAAAGCCUGAUGGAGCAAUGCCGCGUGCAGGAUGAAUGUCUUCGGAUUGUAAACUGCUUUUAUGAGGGAAGAUUAUGACGGUACCUCAUGAAUAAGCUUCGGCUAACUCCGUGCCAGCAGCCGCGGUCAUACGGAGGAAGCAAGCGUUAUCCGGAAUUAUUGGGCGUAAAGAGAUGCGUAGGUGGUCUAUUAAGCAAAGUGUGAAAUCUUGUGGCUCAACCAUAAGGC